AUGUGUUGGCUUGUGCUUUGGUUUGGUGAUUGGUUAACUUCGUGUUUGGAGGAGCUAGUAAGACCAUUCGGAUGUGUAGCGUUGUUUUGGAUUGUUAGAUUUUGCUCUGCGCUAUGCGAUCUCGGGGAAUGAGCUUGGUAGAGUGAGCUUGCGUUAUAGUUUUCUUUGGUUCGUGUGGUUCCGUUCUGAGAGAGCUCAUGGAAAGUUCAUGAAGCCGUUUUCUUGUGAUGCGAGUGGAGUCACUGAUUUUGUGCUUUGUGUGCUUCGCCGUUGACGGCUCAGAGUUAUCGGCCUACCGGUGAAAGGCUUCCAUACACUUGGUUUCCAGUAUAUCGGCUUUUGCCGUUUGACAACGUGUUUUCUUCCUCCUUGAGGCGUCUUCUAGGCGAUUCAUCAAAAUAGUUUUAUCGCUUCAUUGAUUCCGAAAGCUUAAUUGCUUUUGUUGAUUUUAGUGGACCGAAUGAUAUUUGCUUCCAUGUUUUUUAUCCUUUUUCUGCCAUGGAACCAAGCUAUAAGUCUUACAUUCUUGUAACUCCUGACAUUUUUCAUUUUUAUGAAAUAUU
rnacentral:lncRNA from 1 species